GCCAUUGUUGUGUAGCGGUUGGACAUCAGACUAGGAUUCUGGAGACCAGGGUUUGAAUCCCUUCUCGGGCA